GCCGCCAACGGCGGCCGGGGCAGAGGCACAGGGGAUGGGGGCUUGGGAGUGGCGGCGCAAGUAGCCUCAGCCUCCAUCAAUCGAUUUGUUGUUCUGUGCUGCAAAUUCCUCUUAGGAACGCCCUCACCUUCAACGGCGUUAGUGAAGACAUCACCAUGGUUGCACAACGCUGCCUCGAGGACAUUAGGCUCUGGGCUUUUAGAUGCAUUACCCCUGCUUCCUCUCAUCUUCUUAAUUCUUGGUGUAACGGCUACGAUCCUCCGUGAGAUCCUCCAUCUCUCCUCUCUCUUGCUCCCUCCCCAUCCCAUACCUCCUAUACAUGUAAUGUUCCCCUGUACAUUUUUGCUUUGAUGAUAUGAAAAGUUCAGGCUAGCGUAAGCCCGCCGUAGUCCAGGUUAAAAAAAAUUCCUCUUAGGAUUGGUCUUCUUGUGGUAUACUUUUUUGCUCAAUUCUUUCGUCUUCCUGUUUGAUUUGGUCUCCUUUUGUUGACCUUUUUCUUCCUCGUGGUGAUUGGUCUUUUGGUGCACAUCAUCGAGUUUCUCUUCCGUUCCUAACAGCUGAUGCCAGAUCGGUGCCCAUCGUGUCCAUCCGCCUCUCCUCUGUCGCUACAUCGGCUUUGUACUGUUGGAAUCUUGGAGUACAGCAGCAUCGAGGGACCAUACACCUAAGGGCAGAAGCAUGAGAGUACUUGGCAGACGACCGGAACCGUGGUUAUGGUGGUAGCAGCGGCGGAUGGGAAUUAGUGGAGGGGACCAAUUCGGUGCUGGCCGGCGAGCACGACAUGGCAGGAGAGCUGUGGGGACGAGCAGCUCUAGGGCAGCAUUGUGGUGGAGAUGGAGGCCCUCGAGGCUCGAGGGCCUCCUCAGCCUAAAAUCUUCUGACCCAUCUCCUAUGGGGAUGACUCCUCGGGUCGGCCAAUCAGCAUGGGUCUGCUCUUUUGUUGCUCAUCCUCUUAUCUCUUUUAUCGUCUCUUGAUGGCCACUGCUAAUUUAAGCUCGAGUGGAAGUACAUGCGCUACCUCCUCCAGGCUGCUAACGCCUCCUAGCUUCCCAGACCGCCCCAACUGAAUGAUCAUAUUGGAUCUCACACUUGGACAGAGAUGCAAAUGGGAAAAUUGUUCAGAGAGUUGGUGCAGUAGAGCCUUAAAUUCAAUGAAUCGAUCUCGACAAAAGUGCUAGAGACCAACUUGCACCAAGAGCAUGGGAGAUGGUUGCUGCACAGCUUGAUAAUACAUAUGGAGAUUGGUUGAGAUACAAUAUCUUCCACACACACACACGGUAAUUUGAACAUAUUACUUGUCUGCUAUAUAAAUUUCACAUAUUAAAUGAAAACUUCACCAUUACAGUUUUUUAUUCUAGGAAUAUACUCCUUGAAAGGUCAAUCUACUGUUGUAGGUUGUUGCUAUUCUGCCAUGCAUCUAAUUUUUUAACUCCCCUAUUUCCAUUCACCUUGCACUUAAAUGAUUUGUUCCUAUUUGCCACUUUAAUGAUUUUCCCUGUCUUUAGUGAGUGAUUUGUAGUCAGUAGACAACUGAACCCAUUUUACAUAAAUUGACAUUAGACUCUUGCGUGACGAGGUCGAGCGUGCAACCUUAUCUCAGCCAGUGUUUUCCAUUCUAAUUUGGUUCAGAAUUCUAAACAGUUAUUGACAGUCCAAAAUAAAAUUGGCACUCAUUUGGUUUUUCCGUCUCUGUGGUGUGUUAACUCUAAGAUAUUGGUAUUUCUCUUUCAACGGCAAGAUCAUCAACCUAAAGCUAGAACUACCUCUCUAUCUCUCUCAUCUAUAUGCAUGUAAAUGUAGGUUUCUUUUUCCUACUUACAUUAUUGAUGCAAUUAAUUUUCUUAUUUAGAUGUUAAUGAUUAUAUCAGUGUAUAAUGUUAUCAAGAAUUUUUUAUAUGUGCAAGCUUCGUUAUGUAUGCAAUCUUUCAGCCUUGACCAGUACGUCAGAGAAGGCGAUGUCAGUUAUGGAUGAUCAUGUGGUAAAUAUCAUGAAGAAUUAGACUAAAUCAUGUAAUACAUAUUCAGAUGUUUUGUUUAAUACUUUUGCAGAAAUAUUUUCGUUCUCAUCAGCUUUGUGGGUUGUAAAUGUACCAUAACUUUUCCUUGUGAUGCUUGGGUCCAUCCGGCGGUGCUUAUGUAUAGUGCUCAUGGCUUAAUACUUUUAACCUGAAUGUUUCUUCAUGUUCACUUUGAAGGACUUCAAAAUGAACAACUAUUUGGUUCAUCAGGUGUUCGUUUCCAUCUGCAUGCGCAAGCAAAAUUGUUUCAUUAUAUAUUUCUUUUCAUUUUGCAUUUGUGCUUAUAGGGUGUACAUGUGGUUUCAUGCAAAGUUCACUUAAUAUUACAGAAUGUGUCGGUGGUGCCAUUUUGUAUUUAUAAUAUUAAAGAAUGCAAUUGUCCUUUUUUUAGAGGGUAAUAGAGUUUCUCUAAAAGUGCAUGUUUACACCAGCUGCUGUAGCAGGAAUAUAUGUCUUCCGAUUUUAUAGCCAACGACAUGGGGAGGGUAGGUGGCUUCAGAACUGAAAUACAUGGCUUUUGAGCUAACUCCACCAUUUACAUAAACAUCGGCUACCUAAAGAAAAUAUUUUCUGAAUGGGAUAUUGUUUUUCCUGCUCCAUACGAGCAUUAUUAGAUUUUAUGAUACCUUUAUUUUCUAUUCAAUGGACUCUCUAAUUUGAUAAUGGUAUGGAUAAACUAAAGGAUUAGUUUAGUUAUACUCAACAUGAGGUGGGCAUUGAAGACACGGUAGGAAAAUAGGUCUAGAGUUGGGAAAACCAACUCCGGCGUCAAGAUUAGUCUCCUUUCUUUAACAAGUUUUAGAGCAGAGCUGAGAAGAUGGGAAAUUAUAAUGAUUGUGUUUCUGAGCUAACUCCUUUCUAAGCUGAAACGAUUAGUCUCCUUUUUUAACAAGUUUUAGUUAGUCUCCUUUCUUGCUGCCUGAUAUGAGUAUGGUUAGAUCUUAAGAUAGUUCUAUUUUAUAUUCAGUGGACUUUCUGCUUUGAUACUAAUAUUAUUUUCCAUGGAAACUAAUCAAUACAGGGUGAGAACAUUCCCAGUGAGAUUCAUACAAGCGAGUGACAUCAGGGUCAUGUUGAUGCUACAAUGGACAAGAGUAAUAUAUUUAAUGUGCUAGCACAACAAUGGCUCUGCUUGAUUGCCAUGUACUGUUAAGACCUUUACAACAAUGGCUCUGCUUGAUUGCCAUGUACUGUUAAGACCUUUCUCCAUGUCUGAUGCUUAGUAUUUGAACUAUCAUUUAAAAUUCGAAGGUGCAUCUAUUAAGUGUUGUUACUUGACUAUUUGAAAAAUUGAAACAUAAUGAGUAAUCAAGGUCAAUGAAUUUUUGCAAUGCUUUUAGAGAUA